CCCUUAGAUGUUCUGGGCCGCACGCGCGCUACACUGAUGCAUUCAACGAGCCUAUCCUUGACCGACAGGUCCGGGUAAUCUUUGAAUCUGCAUCGUGACGGGGAUAGAUUAUUGCAAUUAUUAAUCUUCAACGAGGAAUGCCUAGUAGGCGCAAGUCAUCAGCUUGCGUCGAUUACGUCCCUGCCCUUUGUACACACCGCCCGUCGCUACUACCGAUUGAAUGAUUUAGUGAGUACCAGGGACCGAGCGCUUUGGUUGGGUUUCCUUCCCUAGCGCUUGGGAACUGUCGCAAACUUGACCAUUUAGAGGAAGUAAAAGUCGUAACA
rnacentral:rRNA from 1 species